rnacentral:lncRNA from 12 species
CAAAAGGCAGAAGGGUUGGUAAAUAUUUGUUCCAGAGAGGAGAUAUUUUUGUGCUGUCCCUGAUCUCAACACCCCUGCCGCGGGCGCUGGCUCCGCGCCGCUCUUCGUCAUUGUUACUGGAGGAUGAGGCAGGCGAGGGCGCAAAAUGGGAAACAAUUGUUGAAUAAUCCGCACGAGGCUCCUCUGCCAAACCCUCCCCGGCCAUUUUUCAACCCAAAGAUGCUGGAAAUGGGGGCAACAGAGAGGAGGAGGUGGUGCUUUGAAGGCAGUGCCUUUGACGGGCCAUAUAAGUACAUGGAUCAGAAUCCCGGGUGCUGGAGACCAGGAGGAUUGUUACGAUCGUCUUGCCUGACCUCCUGCGUCAGACGAGGGCUCCCGGCGAGGAGGGGACACGGGGCGGUGGCGGCUGGAUCCUGCGGCUGUGCGGGGCCGGGGACGGAUGGAGAGAGAAGCCUGGAGGGGAGCGAGGUUUGGGAAUGCAGCUGUGGCUGUGGAGAGGCUGGGUGCUCCCAUCACUGGCACCCAGAUGGGUGCUGGGCAGGAGGGAGCAGGAGCCCCAGAUUCAUCCCUGCUGGGCAGCACCGUGUGAUGGGAAGAAACUGCUGACAACACCACCGAGCUGGGCAUCACCCUUUAACCCAGCCUGGAGCUCCCUAGAAUUCCUCAUUUCCCUGCCAGAAAGCCGGGUUACCUGAGCAGCCCCCACUCUGUUCCAUCCCCUCCAACAACACCCACCCUCCCGCUGCCCGGAGGAGCCGGGAGUGAUCACCGGGGAUGUUUCGGGAGCUCCGGAGCAGCUGUGACCCCGCGAGCCCCGGUGCCGGCUGUCAGGCGGCGGGAAGGGGGCCAGCCCCCUCCUCCCCAGCCCCUCGCAGCCGGGUCCUGCCGGGUGGGGGGGACACAAAGCCCGACAGACGUCACCUCGGCAUCACGCGGCCCGAGUGGCCUUCUCCAUCUUGUUAGCACAUUGUGUAACACAACAUGUGGAGGCGCUGGGACCGCACACGCAUGCACUCCCCGACAGCCCAACCGGGGGGAAAAGAGGGAGGGGAAAAAAUAAAAAAAAGGGGGGGGGGGGGGGGGGGGGGGGGGGGGGGGGGGGGGAUGGAAAAAAAAAAAAAAAAAAAAAAAGAAAAGAAAAACCGAAAAAAAGAAAGAAAAAAAAAAAAGGAAGCAAUUUAAAUUUAAGCUUUGAAUCUUUCUCUUUAAAAUGUUCUCAUGGCUUCAUUAGAAUUUGCAGCCACAGAGGCUUUGAAGAACAUGGUAUAAGGAGUGAAACAUCUGGAAAAAUUAGGAUUAAUGAAAACAUAAUUCCCAAGACUAAAGGAAAGAUUAAUCCUGUGUUACCACUUGUGUGUUCCACAGCUUUUCCCCAGCUCGUAACACUGAACUUAUUAAAUUGCCUUGAGCUGAGUUUUCCUUUUCUCUCUCCCUCCCCUAUGGAGCCCAAUGGAAGCAGCUGAUGCCAAAUGUAAGGAUAACCAACUGUGCUGGCCAGCACUGGCAUGAGCACACCCAGCCCUGUGCCAGGUGGGCACUCACUGCCCAGCAGAGCUGUGGGGGUCCCUGGGUGGUGGUGGGGUCCAGUGGGUUUCAGGGUGGUCUGUGCUGGGCUGGUGGGUGCUGUACCCCAUUGGGACUGCACCUGCUGCUACCUGGGGUCCUGAGCAGGGGCUGACCAGCUCGUGGGAUGGGGGAUGCUGGAGAAUUAAAGAUAAAUUAAUGAGCCCCUUUCUGUGCUGCUGGAUGUUUGGGCAGGGUGAGACUGAAGGGGCUCUGAGGUGCUGGUGUCUCUGGGUGGCUUUUCUGCGAGAGCAAGGGUAGCCCUGGUGAUGUGCCAUGCUGUGCCACGCUGUGCCAUGCCACACGACUCCAUGCUGUGCUGUGUCAUGCCACACCAAGCUGUGCCACACCAUUUCAUGCUGUGCCAUGCUGCUGUGCUGUGCCAUACUGAAUCAUGCUGUGCCAUUCCAUGCUGUGCCAUACCAUGCUGUGCCAUGCCAUGUUCUGGCACCACCUCUGCUCCAAGAUCUGGGCUGUGACCAGGGAGUUGGGACAUGCCAGCAUUGUGCCAGCUGGCAGUGUUCAGCUUUGCCACUGCAGUGCUGGAGGGUACUGAGGGGGGGGUCGGGGGGUCACAUUGGCCAUGCCAGCCCCUGUUCAAGCCCCCUGGACAGAGCUGGCCUGAGGUCUUGGGCAGCUCCAAGUGGAGCUCAGCCAUGCUGAGGGACCCUCCUGGGAAGAUGUGACAGACCCUUUGUCCCUGUAAAGUCCUGCAGCAAUUCCUUUGCCACCAGCAAGUACCACCGAUGGGUGCUAGUUCUGGUUUGGGGUCACAUCAGAAGUUUGUCCCUGCAGCUUUAUCACCACAGACACUGAUCUGCACAAACGGGUGGGGCCAGGGCUGGAGUGUCCGUUCCCCAGAGCAAGAGGCUGUGGAAUCGUGGUGCUUCUUGGGAAGAAGGAAAACAAGGAGAGUCUACUCCAUUAUGUCUUCAUCCAUCCCACCCUGGGCUCAGAGAGGCCGGGCACUGCCUGCUCCACACCUGGGCUGGCUCUGCUGAUCAGCCCAGCCCAGCGAUCCCGGCAGCUGGAGCUUGCAAGGGUCGGGAUGCUCCGAACGAUGGGGACAGAGAGCAGCACCGUUCUGCGAGUCUCUGCUGGGAUUUGGGUGGGCUCCUGCCUGCUGGGUGCUCCCCACGGCGUCAGGGUGAGGAAACCAGAUGUUUUCUGCAUCCCCUCCUUGCCUUCUACCCCGGAUUAUACCAGGACUGCAUCUGGAUGGGAGCAAAGGUGUGUUUGAACCAUGCGUGGGAGAUCAGGGCUCGCUUGCCCCAGGCCUGGUCGGAAAAGACAGCUAUGCCCCACACACGGAGUGAAGGAGGAGGCAGCGUGCCCAGGCCACUCCCCAAGAAGGGGAGGCUCCCAAGGGACCCAACGGGGUCCCUCUCUCCCUCCUUCCCACGCUGCCGUCCCUCUCAGCUCCGGCUUGUUUUCCAGAGAGGAAACCGGCAACCUUGCUAUUCUUUUUUUUUCUAUUUUUUUUCCUAUUU